rnacentral:rRNA from 1 species
GUACNUUACGCAGGCCCGAGUUUUUAGCUCUUAGACNAUGUGAGCCGGUUGGUUUUAUANAAUCUACNCUGGCCGCUCGUUUUCCAGCCUAAUACAUGCAGUCGAGCGAUGGAUAGAGCUUGCUCUUAUGAAGUAGCGGCGGACGGGUGAUACACGUGGGUACCUGCCCAUAACUGGGAUAACUCCGGGAAACCGGGGCUAAUACCGGAUAACAUUUUGAACUGCAUGGUUCGAAAUUGAAAGGCGGCUUCNGCUGUCACUUAUGGAUGGACCCGCGUCGCAUUAGCUANUUGGUGANGUAUCGGCUCACCAAGGCAACGAUGCGUAGCCGACCUAGAGAGGGUAGAUCGGCCACACUAGGGACUGAGACACGGCCCAGACUCCUACGGGAGGCAGCAGUAGGGAAUCUUCCGCAAUGGACGAAAGUCUAGACGGAGCAACGCCGCGUGAGUGAUGAAGGCUUUCGGGUCGUAAAACUCUAGUUGUUAGGGAAGAACAAGUGCUAGUUGAAUAAGCUGGCACCUUGACGGUACCUAACCAGAAAGCCACGGCUAACUACGUGCCAGCAGUCCGCAGGUAAUACGUAGGUGGCAAGCGUUAUCCGGAANUUAUUUGGGGCCGUAAAAAGCGGCGCGCAAGUAAGGUAUCUUUACAGUCCUGAAUGUGAAAAGCCCCACGNGCUUCAAACCGGUGGAAGNGGGUCCAUNGGGGACAAACNCGAGGAACAACUUGGAGUGACCCGAAACAGAACGGGANAGGUGGGACNAUCCCAUGGUGGUAACCGGNGACACAAGCCNUAGAAAACNUUAGGAGGGAAACCCCCCAGAGCGAAAGGGNAACCUNCUAGANCUGGAACNAACACUGAAGAGCAAGCAUGGGNGACGAACCGGAANAACCCGGAUCCACCCCGAACAAAGNGGUCACUAUGAAANGUACCCUUAAGAGAAAACCAAACCACCAGANAAGGACGAGACCAA